CUUGGAGCCAUCCUGACUCCCACUGUGCUAAGCGUCAUCAUUAGAAGAUAAUAUGGAAACAACUGGCGAUGCUGUCAAAUACCUCAAAGGGUUUUCCUAGCUACCUGAUGUGCUAAGACGAGGUUGUUCUGUAGUUGCUGAACAUAGUUGUCGACUGUUAGGGGAUCCUGAUUUUCG
rnacentral:lncRNA from 1 species